UCCAAAACUCGCUGAAUGAGCUUCUCCAUUGAAAAUUUUGCAAUACAAUUCAAGUUGACUACUUGAGCAUCCUCACGCGAUGUUUGGUCCUUACAGAAAAUGCUUGAUUAUUAUAAAUUAACAUGUUAUGCUCUUAAUACUUUGAUGAGUUUGUUGUGCUACUCAUGACAAAAUCCUGUUCCAGGUUUACAGUGGCAGAACUUGUAUGUCAUAUUUUUGGCCCUGGAUAUCGGUUUCUCCUUCAUUGCACAACGGGGUGAAUACAGAUUGGCUUGGCCUUGGAGGAAAAGGAACAAUGAUCAUGGCAUUGAGUCUCAAUUCUUGAACUCUGUAAUGAAACUUUUGUAUGGUGUUGUUGGGUUAAUAUUGGAAUAUAGGUAAAUUUCAGUUCGUAUGGUCUGAUUAACCAUCCUAGUUUGCAUUAUCGUGGAUACAUCCAAAUGUCAUGCAGGUUAUCAGACAACUUGGCUGUCCAUCACUGGCUAUGGGCGGAAGAAAUAAAUUAUUUUUUAUGAAA